CGAACGCUGGCGGCGUGCUUAACACAUGCAAGUCGAACGGAAAGGCCCUGCUUUUGUGGGGUGCUCGAGUGGCGAACGGGUGAGUAACACGUGAGUAACCUGCCCUUGACUUUGGGAUAACUUCAGGAAACUGGGGCUAAUACCGGAUAGGAGCUCCUGCUGCAUGGUGGGGGUUGGAAAGUUUCGGCGGUUGGGGAUGGACUCGCGGCUUAUCAGCUUGUUGGUGGGGUAGUGGCUUACCAAGGCCUUGACGGGUAGCCGGCCUGAGGGGGUGACCGGCCACAUUGGGACUGAGAUACGGCCCAGACUCCUACGGGAGGCAGCAGUGGGGAAUAUUGCACAAUGGGCGGAAGCCUGAUGCAGCAACGCCGCGUGCGGGAUGACGGCCUUCGGGUUGUAAACCGCUUUCGCCUGUGACGAAGCGUGAGUGACGGUAAUGGGUAAAGAAGCACCGGCUAACUACGUG
rnacentral:rRNA from 1 species